GACGAACGCUGGCGGCGUGCUUAACACAUGCAAGUCGAGCGGUAAGGCCCUUUCGGGGGUACACGAGCGGCGAACGGGUGAGUAACACGUGGGUGACCUGCCCUCAGCUCUGGGAUAAGCCCGGGAAACUGGGUCUAAUACCGGAUAUGACUUCAUGACGCAUGUUGUGGAGUGGAAAGCCUUGUGCGGCUGAGGAUGGGCCCGCGGCCUAUCAGCUUGUUGGUGGGGUGAGGGCCUACCAAGGCGACGACGGGUAGCCGGCCUGAGGGGGCGACCGGCCACACUGGGACUGAGAUACGGCCCAGACUCCUACGGGAGGCAGCAGUGGGGAAUCUUGCGCAAUGGGCGAAAGCCUGACGCAGCGACG
rnacentral:rRNA from 1 species